GGGCCCGCACAAGCAGUGGAGUAUGUGGUUUAAUUCGACGAUACGCGAAAACCUUACCAAAUCUUGACAUCCAGCUAACGAGGUAGAAAUACAUUAGGUGCCUCUUCGGAGGAAAGCUGAGACAGGUGGUGCAUGGUUGUCGUCAGCUCGUGUCGUGAGAUGUUGGGUUAAGUCCCGCAACGAGCGCAACCCUUGCUGUUAGUUGCUACGAAAGAGCACUCUGACAGGACUGCCGUUGACAAAACGGAGGAAGGUGGGGAUGAUGUCAAAUCAUCAUGCCCUUUAUGAUUUGGGCUACACACGUACUACAAUGGCUGCAACAGAGGGAUGCAAUGGAGCGAUCCGGAGCCAACCCCUAAAAACAGUCUCAGUUCAGAUUGUAGGCUGAAAUUCGCCUACAUGAAGAUGGAAUUGCUAGUAAUCGCGAAUCAGCAUGUCG
rnacentral:rRNA from 1 species